rnacentral:tRNA from 1 species
GCCACCCUAGCUCAGUCGGUAGAGCAAUUCACUCGUAAGAAUAGGUCAGGGGUUCGAUUCCCCUGGGUGGCUCCA